AUGCCGGACCGCGCAUGCGCCGUCGGCAGCGUCGCGCGCGCCCUGUCGCGCAGCCGGCGCUACGUGUGCGCCCGGGACGCGGACGCAAGCCGCCGACGGAGGAGGCCUUUUAACUACGGCCUCUCCAUCGAAGAAAAAAAUGAAAAUGAUGAAAACUCAUUAAGCAGUUCCUCUGACAGUAGUGAAGACAAGGAUGAAAAAAUAAGUGAAGAAUGUGAUAUUGAAGAAAAGACUGAAGUGAAAGAAGAACCGGAGCUUCAAACAAAAAGGGAAAUGGAAGAAAGAACAGUAACUCUAGAAAUCCCUGAAGUUCUGAAGAGGCAGCUGGAGGAUGAUUGUUACUACAUUAAUCGGAGGAAACGGUUAGUGCAACUUCCAUGCCACACCAACAUCAUAACGAUUUUGGAAUCCUAUGUGAAGCAUUUUGCUAUCAGUGCAGCCUUUUCAGCCAAUGAGAGGCCUCGUCACCAUCACGCUAUGCCACAUGCCAGCAUGAACGUGCCUUAUAUCCCAGCAGAAAAGAAUAUUGACCUUUGUAAGGAGAUGGUGGAUGGAUUAAGAAUAACCUUUGAUUACACUCUCCCGUUGGUUUUACUCUAUCCCUAUGAACAAGCUCAGUAUAAAAAGGUGACUGCAUCUAAGGUUUUUCUUGCAAUUAAGGAAAGUGCCACAAAUACUAAUAGGAGCCAGGAGAAGCUCUCUCCCAGCUUACGUUUGUUGAAUCCAUCCAGGCCGCAGUCUACAGAGAGUCAGUCGACCAGCGGUGAACCAGCCACCCCUAAAAGGCGCAAAGCCGAGCCGCAAGCAGUGCAGUCUCUGAGGCGGUCCUCGCCCCACACCGCCAACUGUGACAGGCUUUCUAAGAGCAGCACCUCACCUCAGCCCAAGCGCUGGCAGCAGGACAUGUCCACCAGUGUGCCCAAGCUGUUCCUGCACCUGGAAAAGAAGACACCUGUGCAUAGCAGAUCAUCUUCACCUACUCUGACUCCUAGCCAGGAAGGGAGUCCUGUGUUUGCUGGCUUUGAAGGGAGAAGAACUAAUGAAAUAAAUGAGGUCCUCUCCUGGAAGCUCGUACCUGACAAUUACCCACCAGGUGACCAGCCACCUCCACCCUCUUACAUUUACGGGGCGCAACAUUUGCUGCGAUUGUUUGUCAAACUUCCAGAAAUUCUUGGAAAAAUGUCCUUUACUGAGAAGAAUCUGAAGGCUUUAUUGAAGCACUUUGAUCUCUUUGUGAGGUUUUUAGCAGAAUACCACGAUGACUUCUUCCCAGAGUCAGCUUACGUCGCUGCCUCUGAGGUGCAUUACAGCACCAGGAACCCCCAGGCAGUCAAUAAGUGUUGAUGGUUCUGUAAGAACAACUGCUCCAUCUAGCAUGGUGUUCUGAGUUCCAGGUAAAAAAUUAACAAGGUGGUGGGUUUUUAUCCAGAGCACAAAACAAAGUGCCCACCAGGGGGCUUUGACAGAGGUGUGCCCUGUUGUUUGAGUUCCCCAUGUACUGUAGUUACUCUGUUUAGAAUUAUUUCCUAGGUGCCUGAAAGUGUUCUGACAUGACACUUGCUACUUUGUAGGCCAUCUGUGAUGGCAGGUAAAAAGCAACUGUUCACAGUGAAAUGUUCAUGGAAGUGUACAUAGGUUAGGCCAUUUCAGCAGACAUUGCAGUUAGUCAGCAAGAACCACAUUGUUUCGUUAUUUGUUAGCAUUAAACAAAAUUUUUUUUGCAAAUUGGUUUCAUUCUCUUGAUGAAGCUGAGCAACUGUCCAACAAGGUUUAGUUUGUACUUGAAAACUGCAAAGUAGUCUCAAAGUAUUUUAGAGGGAAUCCAUAUUGAUGGCAAAAGAAAAUUUGCAGCUAUAAUUUGCUUCUGACGGUUCCUUCUCUGUGAAACAUUAUUUUUGGUGAUCUAAAGAAAGCAUUGCCUUUCUUGUUUGCAAUUUUACAGCUAUACUUUUUUGUGUAAUGUUACGGUUCCCUUUCUGUAAAAUGUUCUUUUUGGUGAUCUAAAUAAAGCCUCUCUUGUUUGAAAAAAAAA
ensembl:lncRNA MSL3P1 MSL complex subunit 3 pseudogene 1